ACAGGUUCUAAUCUUGACCCUGCGGCCUUAACGUGGGUCAAAAAUGACGAUUAUGUCCUGCACUUUCCUCACAGGAUCACUGUGAAGGUCAUGGAAAGAUGAUGGAAUUCAAAGCAGCACUGAGAAGCUGUUCAAAGCAUUUUCAGAGAACGUGUUCUCCAUAUCAGUCUGAGGAUAUCAUCUCUGUUAAACAACUCUAGAAGAUUAAACGAGGCCGAAUCUCUCAAUUAAUGGACAUCCUCCGUUGAGACUUCCAGUUUUCGCUGUGGAACAAAGAGAGUUCCUAUGGAGGUGUUAUUAGCACCGUCGAAAUCCACGCAGGAGGAGCCUUUCGGCUUCGUUGGUCCACCUGGGGUACGGAAGAAGCUUUCAGCCACUAAUUGGGACCCUUUGGGUGUCACAGGAACAGGCUGAUUGGAAAGAGAAGAAUGGAGAAAAGUCAAACCCAUGCAGACAGGUACACCUGGCAACCUUAGAAAACUGGACUGGAGGGACAUGUCACAUGAUGGGAACCUCGCAUGCCCUGAAAUCUGCCAGCUGAGCCUGCAUGAGUUUCAUGUUCUCAAUUAUUUUUGCUAAGGACUGAUACGUCGUACUUGGUGGCCCUUCCUUGCUGAGUGCCUGCAUUUUCUGGUGUGACACUAACAGUCUCUAUUCUUGGAGACACAGGAACGGUUCCAGGCCCGGGGCUGGCGGACACCUGCAUACCAGGGGAGAUGAGGCCCAAGUGCUGCAGAGUGAAGUUUACAACGGCUGAGCUCGGGUUCUGGACGGGAACGGGGUGGCUCGAAGUGAGAGCCGAGCUGUUCCCGACAGGGACGGCUGCCACGGAAGUUGGUGAGACCAUUAGCUUCAAAGGUGUUACAUGAAAAGAGGGAAAAUUAACAGCAGUGAGUUCAGAUGAUGUCACUGGAAUAACACCUGGAAAGAAAAGGGGGGAGAAUAUCUUAAAAGCACAGGCAUUUGUCCGAGAAGCAUACAAGGCUUGAGUGAACUUGAGAAUGACCCACAUUUGAACAGUGUUUUACGUACACUCACCUGCAAUCGGGGAGCUGUAGAUCCUGUGGUUUGGGGAAAGUGUACCUGAGCUUUCUUUACUAGACAAAAUGGACUCUGCCCCCAGGCUUGAGCAUUGGGUGAGAGGGAUUAGGUAUCCUGAUGGGAACAAGGUCUAGAAAACAAGGAGGAAGCAUUUAUUUUACACACAAAUAUGGAAGAAAAAUGGCCAAGCGCCUCUUCUGGGACUAGUAUCCCUUGGUGGUUCUCUCAUCAGACUAAAGCCUCCAAUGGUAUGGGCCACGGGCAGGCCAGCUAUAAUGGCUCUUUGAAGACAACAGCCCUCCUUCCCAUUCCAGUGCUUGUCCUGAAUAAUACAAACCAUGUGUUUCUUAAAUGCCAUCUGUGGUCUUCGGAAGUGUCCUAAAGCUAGCACUGAACCUGCUUAAGGACAGGAUUUACCCAGCACAUCCCCCCUGACCCCCACCACUGACGCCCUAAGUCCUGCUACCAGACUUCUUGGUAUGAUGUGGUACCGUCAGAACAAGUUUAAUGCAGCUGGACACCGUAAAGGCACUGCUGUGUUAUUAUCUGAUUGUCCUUGAAUUGUGUGGGAUGGUAUUUCCCAAGAAUAUUCUGAGGGGCUCUAGUCCUAUGGGAUGCAAGCAGGCACUCUGCGAAUCAUAGUCAAAUACGUUUGGGAAAUUCUGAAUUAAACAAAGGAAAAUGGUCUUUAUGACAGAAUUUCUAAGGGACUUUUAUGAUGGCAUGCAUUGUUCUCCAAGGGGGCAUCAUGUAACAUUUCCUAGGUUAUUCAGCAACUAAAU